rnacentral:piRNA from 1 species
UGGACAACUUGGCAAAACCCUGUCUUU